rnacentral:rRNA from 1 species
CCAGACUCCUACGGGAGGCAGCAGUGGGGAAUAUUGCACAAUGGGGGAAACCCUGAUGCAGCAACGCCGCGUGAGUGAUGACGGCCUUCGGGUUGUAAAGCUCUGUCUUCAGGGACGAUAAUGACGGUACCUGAGGAGGAAGCCACGGCUAACUACGUGCCAGCAGCCGCGGUAAUACGUAGGUGGCGAGCGUUGUCCGGAUUUACUGGGCGUAAAGGGAGCGUAGGCGGACUUUUAAGUGAGAUGUGAAAUACUCGGGCUCAACUUGAGUGCUGCAUUUCAAACUGGAAGUCUAGAGUGCAGGAGAGGAGAAUGGAAUUCCUAGUGUAGCGGUGAAAUGCGUAGAUAUCUGGAGGAACAUCAGUGGCGAAGGCGACUAUCUGGCACAUAACUGACGCUGAGGAGCGAAAGCGUGGGUAGCAAACAGGAUUAGAUACCCUCGUAC